ACCAGUCACAUGAAACUAGGGCCUGCCUGGUGAUCUCAUUUUAACUUGAUUACCUCUUCAAAACCCAUUUCCACAUAAGGCCACCUUCGGAAGUGCUGAGAAUUAGUACUACAAUAUACAUUUUGGGGGGGUUAGAAGGGAGCACAAUUCAACCCAUAACAGCUUUUUAGGUUCUACAUACCUGUAAUUCUAAGUAAUAUCAAGGAUAGUUAUUGGUAAAUUUUUAAAAAUCAUAUAUUGCUUUUCAAUAUUUCCAAAAUAUCUGUUAAAAUCUUAUCUGUUCCUUCUAUCUUUUCCCAUCAUCUAAACACAAAGAUUUUAUGGAUUAGUAUAGAAAAUAGAAUGAUUUUCAUGCUUUAUAUACAUAUUUUUAUUUCACUUUAGUGUUUUUUAAAUUAAUGCCUAACUAACAAAAUUGAAAAUAAAUAUAUAGAUUUUAGUAUUUAUGUUGAACUAGAUACUUUGUAUCAGAGAAGGAAACAUUUUUAUAAAAUUUGAUUAACUUUUCUUUCAGCCAUUUGUUCUCUUCCUAAGAAUAAGGCAGAAUAAGGUAAAUUUUAGCAGUGUCUUACUCAAGCAAUUGUCUCCUGAAGCCAACAAUGCAGAACAUUGUAGGACUGGUAACAUCAUAAAAUCUAAAGCAAUACCCAAAAUACUAACAAAAUCAGUUCACUGUGGAUUACCAUGGAUUCAUAGGUAGAAAUUUCUAGGUAUACUUCUGAAAAAGAUUGGUCUUCAGAUUUUCUGUAUUUCCUGAUAAAAGCUGAAUUGUUACUUUUAAAUAACUAGUGUAUUUUUAUAAAUGUCAAGCAUACUUGAACCAAAAGUCUGUUAAAACUUAUUGUCUCUUUUUCUGAUAUAUGCAAAAAAUAUUGUUUCAUGCAUCUCAAAUACAAUAAAAAAUUUGUCUUCUUCUUACAUAGCUAUUAUUAUAUAAAAUGCAAUUCCAGAAAUAGUAUUGAUUUAAUUCUUCACUACUAGUACUAAAUGCUUCCCGAAUAUAGAACCUAAGGAAUUGCCAGGGAAACCCUCACAGGUUAAUUUUUUUCAAGAUGCUUGAAUAAAUAAAUAUUUAAUUUGUGUAUUUAUCUCAUAAUUUCAACAAUUUUCCAAUAUCAGUCAAAUCAAAUUUGAUGUCAUUUCAUACCUCCAGAAAACAUGCGUAGACUUGUGCAAAUCCAUUAGCACCUUUGACAUCUUCACUGAGGUGUAGAAAGCUGUUAACAGAAGCUGUUCUGCUGAAGCCUCCACUGGGCACAGCUAACGUGUUUUGCUCUGAAAGGUCUGUUAACCUCUAUGUGUGAUGGGACAUGUUCUUAAUAGAAGAAUGCUCCUGAAAGCUGUUACCUAUCACUGCAUCUGAGAUCCUAACACAUUGCUGACUUAAUUCACUUCUCUUUUACUUUCUUUGGUAAUAAAAUUCAGGAGAAAGGUAUGUACUUUGACAAUGUGUGAGUGUCCUAAUGAAAGAUCAUUCCACCAUUUCUCCUCCUGCAAUAGUUUUUUAAGUGCAUGUCUAUUUUUUAAAAAAUUAUUGUCAUGGCUCUUAUAUGUCAUUUCAGAGAGUGGCAUACCUGAGAACCAGUUAUUUCUUUCAGUGGAUUUAAUAUAUUGUGUUCUGGUUAACAGUCUUUCUGAUUCCCUGAAAUUUUAGGCCUUUGCAGUAGGGAAGAGUGACAAGGAGAAAGGAAGGGGAAAGAAUGUUAAGUUGAAAGUCAUAUGAAACAUUAGAAAGAGAGGCCUUUCUGACACUCCUCUACCUCACUCUGCCCACCACCGUGAAUCAGUCAUACACUCACAGACUAUGAAAUGUAUAAUCUAACGAGCAAUUUUUAAAAUAUAAGAUAGUUUUCUUCCAUCAAUAUGCCACUGUCUUUCUCAGUGCUACUGAAAUACAUCUCAGAUUGACCAAUAAACCAUUCAGAACCAAUAAACCGUUCUAUAUUUAUAGAAUGUGACCAGGCAAUGUGAUAAAUUUACGUAAGUAGAGAAAUGUUGCUGUAUUUUUAAUGCUUGUCAUCUGGUUGACUUCAUUUUUCCUUACAUCUUGUUUAUUUUAUAAAACUGUCUUGAUUUUUUUACUUCCCUCUGUUUUCCUUAAUUUGGAGUCAAAGUUAGGGGUUGAAAUAAGAACUCAAUAUUGGUUAGCUUACAAAAUAAGGGGGAAUUUUUAGAGCAAGUCCAUCUUUAUUGAAAUAUAACUUUGCAUUUCAACUACAAAGUUAUCACUGAUGUUAAAUAGGAAAGUCAAACAUUGGAGUAGAAAUAUGGCAGGCCCUUCU